GAUUAAGUUAUUAAGGGCGCACGGUGGAUGCCUUGGCACUAGAAGCCGAUGAAGGACGUUACUAACGACGAUAUGCUUUGGGUAGCUGUAAGUAAGCGUUGAUCCAGAGAUUUCCGAAUGGGGGAACCCAACAUGAGUUAUGUCAUGUUAUCGACAUGUGAAUUCAUAGCAUGUCAGAAGGCAGACCCGGAGAACUGAAACAUCUUAGUACCCGGAGGAAGAGAAAGAAAAAUCGAUUCCCUGAGUAGCGGCGAGCGAAACGGGAAGAGCCCAAACCAACAAGCUUGCUUGUUGGGGUUGUAGGACACUCUAUACGGAGUUACAAAAGAACAUGUUAGACGAAUCAUCUGGAAAGAUGAAUCAAAGAAGGUAAUAAUCCUGUAGUCGAAAACAUAUUCUCUCUUGAGUGGAUCCUGAGUACGACGGAGCACGUGAAAUUCCGUCGGAAUCUGGGAGGACCAUCUCCUAAGGCUAAAUACUCUCUAGUGACCGAUAGUGAACCAGUACCGUGAGGGAAAGGUGAAAAGUACCCCGGAAGGGGAGUGAAAGAGAACUUGA
rnacentral:rRNA from 1 species